CCUGGUUUCUAUAGGAGAUGGGGUACCACCCGUUCCCAUUCCGAACACGGUCGUUAAGACCAUCUCCGCCCAUGGUACUGAAGGAGCCGUUCUUCGGGAGAGCAGGUUGAAGCCAGGA
rnacentral:rRNA from 1 species